rnacentral:misc_RNA from 1 species
CGCCCUCAAGAAACCAAAAAAACAAAACAAAUGUAACAGCUAGAAGAAAGAGAAGAGAAAAAGAAAAAGAAGUGGUGGAGAAAUAAUAGUAAACUAAAACAGGCUAGCUAAUAUCCCCAUUUGUAACGCAUUUCAUGAUCAUUCCACGCUCAGAAAAUUUUCAAAAGCACAAAGGAGUUCUUUGAAUUAAAAAUUAAAACCAUAGAGAUUAACGCAAAAGAAACAAGAAAUUCAAUUCAUGGAGAACCAUUUUCAGAUCUAUCAAAAUGGAGAAG